AGAGUUUGAUCAUGGCUCAGGAUGAACGCUAGCGGCAGGCUUAAUACAUGCAAGUCGUGGGGCAGCACGGGGUAGCAAUACUCUGAUGGCGACCGGCAAACGGGUGCGGAACACGUACGCAACCUUCCUUUAACUGGAGAAUAGCCCCUCGAAUGAGGGAUUAAUACUCCGUAACAUGAUGAUAAGGCAUCUUAUUAUUAUUAUAGCUCCGGCGGUUAAAGAUGGGCGUGCGCCUGAUUAGGUAGUUGGCGGGGUAACGGCCCACCAAGCCUGCGAUCAGUAACUGGUGUGAGAGCACGACCAGUCACACGGGCACUGAGACACGGGCCCGACUCCUACGGGAGGCAGCAGUAAGGAAUAUUGGUCAAUGGACGCAAGUCUGAACCAGCCAUGCCGCGUGGAGGAUUAAGGCCCUCUGGGUUGUAAACUCCUUUUAUCUGGGAAGAAAUCCAUAUAUUCUUAUGGGUUG
rnacentral:rRNA from 1 species